rnacentral:rRNA from 1 species
UACGUAGGUGGCGAGCGUUGUCCGGAUUUACUGGGCGUAAAGAGCGCGCAGGCGGCUGGUCAAGUCCGAUGUGAAAGCUCCCGGCUUAACUGGGAAAUUGCAUCGGAAACUGAUCGGCUGGAAGGUGGGAGAGGGUAGCGGAAUUCCCGGUGUAGUGGUGAAAUGCGUAGAUAUCGGGAGGAACACCAGUGGCGAAAGCGGCUACCUGGCCCACAACUGACGCUGAGGCGCGAAAGCUAGGUGAGCAAACAGG